GGUGAGAAAGAGAGAGAAGGGGAAGGGCGUGUGACAUAGAAGAAGAGAGGAGAGUUGGGGCAUGGGAGAAAGAAAAAGGCAUAUGGUGGAGGGGGCUAAGAGAGAGAGAAGGGGUGGAUGCGAGAUCGAGCGAGUGCAUGAAGGGGUCCUCUUUGAUUAAGGAGAGAGUUUCUCCAUUAAGAUAACUUUUAAAUGGUAAAGUUUUUUUUAGCAAAAAUACUUAGAUAAGAUUGAGAAAAAAAUGGAAGAGGAAAGUGUCAUGCCUUGAACCCAUUACUUAGGUCAACCACAUGGCAUGACCGUAUGAACUCUAGAGCGAUGCCCUAUAGAUCACGCAAAGCCUGUUUUCUAAUUCAUGCACAUAUCAAUCCAAACUUAGGUAGUGGUAGGAAUAAAUAAUCUAAUGUAUUUAUUCAAUAGUCUACAAUCACUAAUAAUAAGAAUACAUCCAAUUAUUCUAAGAAUCACUGAUCAAAACUUUCUAAACCCUAAGCUUCUCACCGCUCGAUUCCAAUCCCCAUCUACUCAGCUGCACCUAUAAAAAAAAAAAAGAAGAAGAAAGAUAAUGAGCUUGCAUUCCAAUAAGUUUCCAAAAUCUCUAAUGGGAUCAAACAUA
rnacentral:lncRNA from 1 species